AGUUUAAGGCGGAAAACAUGCGAGCAUAGGACAGCACGUGUGUUGACCCAUUGGGAAUCAAUCUUUACGCGUGUGCCCGUCUGACCACUUCUAUUGGGUGCCAGAUCAGUUGAGCAAGGGUUCACAAGAUGAAGAUCAGACGCUUUACGAGUAGGAACUAUGAAGAAGAGAUGCCUAAGAUUGCGCCUGAGAAGUUCUGGAAAAGAGUCUUGACUCGAAAGUAAACGCAGUUAUAUUAAUAGGAAGUGGAUAUUAGGCCUAAUGAUGACUUUAGCGGGCUGAAAAAAAAAAGUAAACAUAACUUGUGAAGUGAGCAGGAGGAAACUGGCUUCAGUGGCUAUCAAAUGAUAAACCAACAGAAGUGAUGCCCACGAGGACGUGCGGUGCUCUUUGAUGUGAGAAAGGAAGGUUGAGAGCACUCUCCCCAGCACAUACCACCCUCAUUAGUGUCCAGCAGCUGAAGACGCGAGGUCACAAACCCAAUGAGUUGCCCAUCUCAUUCAGCUUUGCCGACAGGGAAGGAUGACCACUAUGACCAAAUGUUGCGCUGUGGUCUGACAGCACAUUGUGUUCAACAAACAAAGUGGCUUGAAUAACCCUUGAACUUUGUGUGGAGUGCAUUAUUUUUUCAACAUUUUCAACUUUUCAACAUUCUUGUAGAUGUUAUCCAUUCAAUAAACUGUGCAUUUUUCUA